CUUUGCUGACGAGUGGCGGACGGGUGAGUAAUGUCUGGGAAACUGCCUGAUGGAGGGGGAUAACUACUGGAAACGGUAGCUAAUACCGCAUAAUGUCGAAAGACCAAAGAGGGGGACCUUCGGGCCUCUUGCCAUCGGAUGUGCCCAGAUGGGAUUAGCUAGUAGGUGGGGUAACGGCUCACCUAGGCGACGAUCCCUAGCUGGUCUGAGAGGAUGACCAGCCACA
rnacentral:rRNA from 1 species